GGAAGCUGAGGCAGGAGAAUCACUUGAACCCGGGAGGCAGAGGUUGCAGUGAGCCAAGAUCACACCACUGCACUCCAGCCUGGGCAACAGAGUGAGACUCCAUCUCAAAAAACAAAACAAAAUACCAGUGAGUGGCCAAUUCGCACAGUUAAGCUGCUAUAAUGAUCGUAGACAAUCUUCUCCAAGUUAGUCGUUGGAGUUGGUGUUGGAGAGAAGCAAACACUCAUUUAUCCCAAGGACAUCUGUUGAGUACCUAUGCCCAUGUGCUUUUCAUUUUGUUCAGCAUUAGAAAUGGCUCAUCCCUUAAUAAUGAUGAUAUUUAAAAGACAUGUCCAUCUGAGAGGAAGAUGGCUGGAAUCACCCUGGGUGACCGUGGCAAUCCCUAAAACAGCAGGUUCACGGUUUAGUCAUCUACCUCGAGUGGGAGGGGACCCCCUGGCCAAUGUGGGUCAAGGGAGAGAUGACCACCCACUGUCCUCCCCGGCUUCGGGUACAGAUUCCUGUCUUUCUCUCGUGCAUGGCAUUCCUGGGAACGUGGUUCUAUGCUCAGUUUUUGCCAGUUGUCUGCCAGUCUAGUGGCUGAAUCCACUUGGCAAGUAGGAGCCCAGUGUAAGUUAGCUCUGCAUUCACUUCAGGGGCAUGUGUGACCUGGAUUUCCCAUGUCUAACAGAGCUUGCUGGCGAGGGGGCAGGCAAGGCCCUAUGCCGACUGGUGGUUUUGUUUUUGUUUUUGUUUUUUGAGACAGAGUCUUGCUCCGUUGCCAGGCUGUAGUGCAGUGGUGUGAUCUCGGCUCACUGCAAGCUCCGACUCCCUGGUUCAAGCAAUUCAGCCUCAGCCUCCCGAGUAACUGGGAUUACAGGUACAUGCCACCACACCCGGCUAAUUUUUGUAUUUUUAGUAGAGAUGGGGUUUCAUCAUGUUGGCCAGACUGGUCUCGAACUCCUGACCUCGUGAUCCGCCCGCCUCGGCCUCCUAAAGUGCUGGAAUUAGAGGGGUGAGCCACCGCACCCAGCUGCCAACUGGUGUUUCUAGGCAGCUGUGGGCUUUUUCUCCCCACAGGCAUGCAGUUCUUGAAGAUUUUUCCUAUUGGUCAUGAGUGCAGAAGAGCAGGAGGCUGAGCUGAACCUAUGCCAGCCCAAGACCAGGCCAGACUCUGCUGUCCUUGUGAGGGAAUAGGGGUUCCUGAUUUUGUAGCUUUUCACAAAAUGGAAGAGACAGAAAACAAGUUCCAGAUCUUGAACCUUCCCCAUGUGUUUGAAGGCAGUCAAGGGUUUCCUGAUUUUACAUUCAAGAUACUUACACUCAGGGCCGGGCAUGGUGGCUCACGCCUGUAAUCCCAGCACUUUGGGAGGCCGAGGCAGGAG
rnacentral:lncRNA from 1 species